UACAUAAAUCCUGCAAGAUCAUGGAAAGAUCUUGCAUGAUCUUGCAAGAUCUUUCCAAGUUCUUGCAGGAUCUUACCUAAGAUCUUGCAGGAUCUUGCAAGAUCUUUCCAUGUUCUUGCAGGAUCUUACCUAAGAUCUUGCAAGAUCUUGCCAUUAUCAUGGCAAGAUCUUGCCAUUAUCAUGGCAAGAUCUUGCAGGAUUUGUACCAAGAUCAUGCCAAGAUCUUA